ACGCUCGACACCUACGGGAGCAGCAGUGGGGAAUAUUGCACAAUGGGGGAAACCCUGAUGCAGCGACGCCGCGUGGAGGAAGAAGGUCUUCGGAUUGUAAACUCCUGUUGUUGGGGAAAAAGAGGAUGGUACCCAACAAGGAAGUGACGGCUAACUACGCGCCAGCAGUCGCGGUAAUCUGAGCGGGCUGGCAAGGC
rnacentral:rRNA from 1 species